GCUUACUUUUCGUAGCAUUCCCGAUUAAUUAUAUUGAGUCACAUUCUGUGCAUCGUGUUUGGUAUUGCUUCUGGAUACUGGUAACUCUUAAGCUUUUUAGUUUCUUUCAUACUGUCCGAUGCUAUGGAGCAUCUGAAAUUAUCUCUUGUUCUGAAAAUUUCCCUUUUGUUCCUCUCGUACCUUAUCAGCAUUUUCCUAACGUGGCUUGUGACGGAUAAACCUGAAGCAAUUCUUAGUUUUAUACCAGUUUUCAUCUCUUUCACCGUCUACAUCUUCACUCUACUGAUCUUCGAAUUUGGCAAAAAGAUGUGGCAACUCUAUCUUCAAAAGAGCAAUAGACUUCAAUACGUCUUCAACGUCAAUAAGAGAUUUCAGAGGGCUGGAUUUCUCCAGACGACCCAAGCGAUUGAAAUUCCCCAAACGUCUGAAACAUUUGAAAUUCCUCAGACGACUGAAAGGACUGCAGUUUCUCCUACCACUGAAAUGAUUGAAAUGGCUGAAAUUUCCAGAACGCCUGAAAUGAUUGAAAUUUCUCGGACGGCUGAGAUUGAAAUGACGAAAAUUCCCGCGACGGCUGAAAUUAUGGAAACUCCCCAUGGAAUGCAAAUUUCCCAGACACGUAGAUCUCCCCAGAGGGUAAGAAAUCCAAGAAGAACGGAAUUCUCCACAGGAUUUGGAGGAGGAUUAGAAUUUCCUAAAGGAACAUUUAAUUUUUAAGACGAUGACUUUUUGUAUGUGCACGAUGACUUUACUUUUGUAAUUUUACGAUUUUUGACUUUUCCUAAAUGUAAUUAUUUUAAUUUUAUUGAUUACGAAAGAAAGAAGAAUCAGAAAAUGAAUCUGAGUGCAAAUUCUUUGUGAACAUAAAUACUUUAUCGUUUAUAAAUAUUUUAUUAAAUAUUUUCACUAAA